rnacentral:rRNA from 1 species
UACAGAGGGGGCAAGCGUUGUUCGGAAUUACUGGGCGUAAAGGGCGCGUAGGCGGCCUUCUAAGUCGAACGUGAAAUCCCUGGGCUCAACCCAGGAACUGCGUCCGAUACUGGAAGGCUUGAAUCCGGGAGAGGGAUGCGGAAUUCCAGGUGUAGCGGUGAAAUUCGUAGAUAUUCGCAAGAACACCAGUGGCGAAGGCGGCUCACUGGCCCGAUACUGACGCUGAGGUGCGAAAGCGUGGGGAGCAAACAGG